rnacentral:lncRNA from 1 species
GUUGCCAAUCUUUUUUUUUUCCCCCUGCUUUAUCUCCCCAAACCCCGCCUGUACACAGUUGUAUAUCUUAAUUGCACAUCCUUCUAGUUGUGGGAUGUGGGACGCCACCUCAACGUGGCCUGAUGAGUGGUGCCAUGUCCGUGCCCAGGAUCCGAACCCUGGGCCGCUGCAGCAGAGCGCAUGAACUUAACCACUCGACCACGGAGCCAGCCCCUGGAGAGGAACUGCAUGAAGGCGAUCUCGAAGGAUCCACUGAUAUUGUGUGGGAACACAGUGGCCGUGGUGAUGUGUUGACUAGAUCCUGCUUCAGUGAAGGACUGGUUGUCCCAGCUGCUGGGAGUGGUGUCAGCGGACGGCUUCGGCUGGCGCUGUCUUCAGGGAUGGCUUCAGCUGUAAAGAGCUGCCUCAGCCAAGGUCACGCCUGUCCCGGGACAGCCGACCUCCAGUGACUGGUCGAGGUUGGGGUAUAAAGGCCUGGCCUUUUUAAUCCAGUGUGGGACAGCUCUGAUGGGCCAUUUUCACUUCCAUUCGAGAAACUGUGCUGGGAUUUUUUAUUUAAUUUUUCUGUCGUUUUAAAGUGGAUGCAAUUCAUUAAAAAUUUAUGAAUAAUUAUUACUGAGCCACAAAGUAUUUCUGAUCCAUUACCUCACUUGAAUAGAAGUGGGUUAAGAAUCAUUUUCUUUAGGAAACCCCAUUUAGAUAAUGUUUCCUUUUUUUUCUGCCCCUCCCUAUGUGAUGUCAAAAGUUUGUAUAUUACAAAAGUUUAUUGAUCAGGAUGCUAAGCACUUGACGCUUCUAUUUUUUAAAAAUUGGAUUCAUAUAAUGUGUACUGAGGGUACAUGAUAGAAUAGAAAGCAUGUGAGUAUUAGAGUCAGACUGAGAGUUAAUGCCCCAGCAAAUAUAUGUAAAACACUUAGUACACGGCGAAUACUUAGUGAUAGUUUAAUUUUCUUUUUUAUAUUGUGUGUUACUAAUUCUGCUGGCACCUUCACAAUGUUAUCUCAUCUCCUUGCAUCCAUUCUUCCCAGCAACAUCUCGUCCUCUCCCCAACCAUUAAUUCCAAACUAUAGUCAAAAUGAUCUUUUAAAAAUGAAAAUCUGAUUGGUCUCUUCUCUGCUUAAAAUCCUAAGACUUCUUAUUGCUCUUAAGAUAUAGACCAAAAUUCUUCCAUCGGCCUCUAAGAACCUGAAUGUUCUGGCCCUGUUCACCUCUCUGGGUUCAUCUCUUACAAGGCUGCUUUCCUUCAUUCUCUCCACUACAGCCCCUUUCACCUUCUUCUAGUUCCUCAUGUGUUUGUCGUGUCUCUGCUGUUCCCACCGCCUGGAAUGUUCCAUUCCUGCCCAUCUCUUCCCCUUGGUUAGUUAGCUCUUUCUCAUCCUUUAGAUCUCAGCCCAGGAGAGCCUUCUCUGAACUGCCACCCCUCCCCUCAGUUUAAAUCAUCGGUAUACACUCCUGCAUGACUAUGUUCCCUCACUUCGGGGCACUUAUCUAGAUUUGUAACUCAGCAUCAGUGUGAUCAAUUAAUUGGUUUCUGUCUUUCCCACAGGACUGAGUUCCCUGAAAGCAGGAAGCUUGUUACUGAAUUCUUAUAGCCUAGUUCAGUGAUUAGAUCGUAGUAGGUAGCCAGUAAAUAUUACACGGUUUAAUCAGCAAAAAACCGAGCAAGGUGUGUGAAUGUGGAUGUAUAUUGUUUCUAUUAUUAUUAUUUUUUAAUAAAUGAGGAAACUGAAGCUCAUUUAAACCCAGUCAUACCACUUGUAGGUCCAGAGUACCUUACAAUUUUUAAAAAGCACAUUUGUUUUUAUGAAUAUUUAAGUAUAUUUCCUUUUCUCUUUGUAUUAUCCUUGUAUUAAAACAUUCUGAUUGUUUUUGGGGCCGGCCGGUGGUGCAGCAGUUAAGUUGCUGCUCUCCACUUCGGAUGCCUGGCAUGGACCUAGCACUGCUGUCAAGCCAUGCUCUGGCAGGUGUCCCACAUAUAAAGUAGAGGGAGAUGGGCGCAGAUGUUAGCUCAGAGCCAAUCUUCCUCAAAAAAAAAAAAAAAGUGUAAAAAAAUAUAUAUUCUUAUUGUUUUCGAUCUAAUGUCUCACUUUAUUCUCAAUUACUUGGAACUGAUAAGACUCUAAUAUUCCUCUAAAAUUCACUUAUGCCUUCUGCCUUGUGAAUGACAAAGCACUGCAAUGACCCUGAAAUAUAAUAUAAUAAUGAAAGUCUAGCCUGUUGAGUGUUGCCCUGGGAAUGUAAACUGAUCCCAAAUUGAUACUCAAGUCUAUUCAUCAAGCAUUUGAACUACACCAGAUAGUUUAUGCUAACAGUGUGAUUUAUGGCAGGAGCCUUGAUCCACGCUGAAUCAGUUUGACUUCUGGAGGGACUGGAGACUGAAUAAAGGCAGUCACGUGGGUGCUCUAUGCUGCUGUGACCAAUCUCUAAUAGAAACCAGGGACGCCAAGGCUGAGGUGAGCUUCCCUGGUUGGCAUUAUUCCACACUUGUCACACAUUGCUGCUGAGGGAAGCAAAUGUCUGUAAGUGCUGAUUAUAUUGUAAGUGAAUGUAAGUGAGGCCAUCUUUUAUGUGACUCUGUGUGACUACUCACUGCUCUGCACGUACUCUAAAAUAAUUCACAUGCUCUCCUGAUUUAUGGCCUCUGCUUACGUAUGUACUGCCCUAUAGCUUGAUCAAUUAAAAAUUUGUUCUACAAGUUUCUUUCCAGGAACAGGCUGACCACAGGCGGGAAAUACACCUACAAGGUAUCCAUCACAGCUGACGGAAGAAUGGAACAAUAAAAGACCCUGGAUUCUGUCAUGCCUGAAGGCUUACUUUUCCAAACCUCCUCCUUAAUCCCUAUUUUCCCUAUAUAACUACCUCAAGAUUCGGUAAUUGUUGAAGAUGGGUUUUUUGAGACUUUAGUCACCCAUCUUCUGAUUUUGCCCGCUAAUCCAGUUAAAGCUUCCUUUCUUCAUCCCUCACUCGUGGUGAUUUAUUGGCUCAGAUCCCGAUGAGCAGAGCCCAUUGCUCAGUAACACAUAUGACUCCAAUGGGAAAGGAAAACUAAAAGCUUAUUCCUGGUCUCCCCUGGACUCCACCCUGUGGACUUUCUACCUUUGCUCAUUUUAAUCUGUAGCCUUUCACUAUAAUAAACGGUAACCAUGAGUAUAACAUCUUUUCUGCUUUAUAUGAGUCCUUCUAGAGAAUCAUUGAAUCUGAGGGUGGUCUUGAGGACCCCUGUCACAGCUGCUUAGAAAAGGAAUGGACUUUGAGAUUAUUUGCAUGGGUUUAAGACUGCUGUGUGGAUCUUUUUUUGUUUUUUGAGGAAGAUUAGCCCUGAGCUAACAUCUGCUGCCAAUCCUCCUCUUUUUGCUGAGGAAGACUGGCCCUGAGCUAACAUCCGUGCCCAUCUUCCUCUACUUUAUAUGUGGGACACCUACCACAGCAUAGCUUGCCAAGCAGUGCCAUGUCUGCACCCGGGAUCUGAACCGGCAAACCUCGGCCGCGGAAGCAGAACGUACACACUUAACCACUGCGCCAGUACAAUGCCCCAGCUGCUGUGUGGAUCUUGAUCAAGAGAAGACAACCACACCCUCACUUCUGGAGGUAGAUCGUCAUUAGUUUAAGCCAAUCAACAGAUGACAUUCCUCUGGCUACAAUUGGUCCAGGGAAGAAAGAGAGACACUAGGGAUACAUGAGCACAGAUGAAAGGCCAUGUGAGGACACAGCAAGAAGAUGGGGACCAUCUGCAAGCCCAGGAGAGAGGCCUCAGGAGAAACCAGCCCUGUUGACACCUUGAUCUUGGACUUCCAGCCUCCAGAGCUGUGAGGAAUAAAUUUCUGUUGCUUUAGCCCUCCAGUUUGUGGUGUUUUGUUUCGUUAGCCCCAGCAGACUAAUACAUAAGGUAAUACAUUUUCUCACUGCUUAAGAAAUGUUGAGUUGAGAUUUUCUAUUACUUGCAGCCAGAAUCAUUUUGACACAGGAUAUUCGUGAUCUCCUUCCCUGCCCCUUUCUGCAAGUCUUUUUUUUUUUUUAAGAUUGUCACCGGAGCUAACAUCUGUUGCCAGCCUUCUUUUUCUUCUUCUUCGUCUUCUCCUCCCCAAAGCCCCACAGUACAUAGUUGUAUAUUCUAGCUGUAGGUCCCUCUGGCUGUGCUAUGUGAGAUGCCAUCUCAGCAUGGCUUGAUGAGCAAUGCCAUGUCCCCACCCAGAAUCUGAACUGGUGAAACCCUGGGCCACCGAAGCGGAGGGUGCAAACUUAUCCACUUGGCCAUGGGGCUGGCCCCUCUGCAAGACUUCUCUAUGCUGCUUUGUCACUUGUUUUCUGUUUCUCAGGGCACAGAAGCCAGUUGUUUCUAUUGCAUCCUUGCCUUUAGAUGGGGUUUCUAGGAAAAUAAUUUAAAAAGACAUAUUUGGGUCCAUAUGUGCCAAUUCCAAAAUCUCAGAAGAGAAAGCCAGAUUGGUGCAGCUUGGGUCUGGUUAGCACCCUUGAACCAAUCAGCUGAGGCUAAGAGGACAGGAGACAUGGAGUAGUUGAAAGGGAUUAUGGGAGUAAACUCUUAGAGAAAGAGAAUGGGCAUGUUUCUCUUAUAGGAGAUAUGGGGACAAGCAGGAAAUAAUUGGCUUUUUGAAUAUAGAAAUCUUAUUCAUCAUUAUAUUCCUAGUCCCUAGCACAUAUAAUGGAUCUGAGUAAAUCUGACUUAAACUAAGGAAUAAAAGAUGGGCAAUUGCUGGAAUAUAGAAAAAUAUUGAAUCCAUCUUUGUUUAGUGAAAGAGACACAGAUCUAUCUUGGUCUGUGUAGUGGAUGGUGUGGUUUGUAGUCCAGACACCCUCUCCCAGCCCAAGCCUGAAGAACUCAUUCCUCCAGCCGCUGGGAGUACUGGCAGCUGAUGUGUUUCAGCUGAGUCUCUCUCAGAAUUUUCCUUGGCUAAAGAGUGCUUCCUAGUCCAAGGCCAGGCCUCCUUCCGGGAGGCAAUUCAUGUCCAAAAACUGGUGAAUGCGGAGAUAUACAGACCUAGCCUUGUUGUUUCAACUUGGGCAACUCUGGAGAACUCAUCCCGACUCCAGAGCUCCUGAUAGGAUGGCCUGUGGCAUUUGUUUCGUCUGAAUCACAGUUCAGCUUUUCUCAUUGCACAACCUUGUUUCUUUAUUUCCCCACAGGAGUUGAUUCUAAGAGUAAUCCCCGAUAAAGCUCCCGCAGGCAAAUCUCUGCCUCAGAAUUUGGUUCAUGGUGAAUUCAUCCCGCAACAACUGGUGCCUGAGUGUCUGAGAUAGCAGACUCUAAGAGGGGACUUUGGAAAUGGAUCACUCAUGGGCCAAGUAUCAACGGGAGCCCCGUCCAUGUUGGUAGAAAUAGCAAAUAGUCCAUGGCAUGCUGUAGCAGGACAAUGUUUAAAACUUUCACCAAUGGUGAACUUGGAUCGUAUAUCAGCGGAAGGAAUGCACUGAUGGAUUCAAAGUAACACUCAUUUCAGAAUGACAGAGGAAAUAAUAAAUACAAGGACAAUGAAAUUGGUUGGUUAUUUCUGAGGGCCAUGGAAUCUCUGAAGAAACAUAAUGAAAGGGUGAUUAGUUAUCAAUUAAAGGCUAAGUACGAAAGCCAGAGGGCCUCCUUGGUAGCAUAAAAGAGACUCAUCUUCUGCAGCUGUAGGUCCCCAAAAAGCUGAGGGUGACAAGAGUAGCAGAGCUCUAGAGAGAAUUAAAUUCUCAGCCACAGCAAGUCUGCUCUGCUCAAGUCAGGGCUCUGACUGGGGAGGAGCAGGCUCCUGAGAUAGGGGAUGGAGAUGUCUGGCUUGAUGCACUUGACAGUAUUAAAUCCUCAGAUUCCUCUCCAGACGUGGCUCACUCUGUUAAAGGCUAAUUCUCUCCCUUCAGGGAAGUAGACAGUUCUCUCCCUAAAUAAGCAAGUAGACAAUGACUGUUUAUGUCACCCAGGCUCUGUCAUCAGUCACCCCAGUGCUGGGUACUGCGUACAGGAACAGGGUAGACAUGGUAGCAAGGACAGAGCCCACGCCCUGGUCCUACAGAAUGGGUUGCCACAUACCAGGACUGAUCCAGCUGUUGUUGCUGCCAAAUGCUGCUGAGACCAACCCUAGGCCCCUGAUAUGCCACUUGGUGGCAAGUUAACUACAUUGGAUCUAUUUCAGCAAUUCAUCUCGACUGGAACUGACACACAUUCUGGGUACCACUCGUGUCUAUAGGACCUCAUCCAGCAUCAUUAUCUGAGAGCAUACAAAGUGUUUCAUUGCUGACAUGGGAUCCUGGGUGACAUCUCAUUGGACUAGGGGACCCAUGUUACAGCAUAGGAGAUAUAGCAGUUCAUACAUGAUCUUAAGAUCCGCUAGCCCUAUCACAUACUAUUCCACAGAGAGGCUGCUGGUUUGAUAAAGUGAUGGAACAGCUUUGAUUAAAAACAGAUGUAAUAAAACCCAUUGAGGUGCCAGCUUGGAGAGAACUCAGAGAGGAUGUGGGCACCAGUCUCCAGGAUCAGUAUAUAUCUUUUUUUUUUUUUGAGGAAGAUUAGCCCUGAGCUAACUACUGCCAGUCCUCCUCUCUUUUGCUGAGGAAGCCUGGCCCUGAGCUAACAUCCGUGCCCAUCUUCCUUUACUUUAUAUGUGGGACCCCUACCACCGCAUGGCGUGCUAAGCCGUGCCGUGUCCGUACCCGGGAUCCGAACCGACGAACCCGGGGCUGCCGAGAAGCGGAACGUGUGAACUUAACUGCUGCGCCACCAGCCAGGCCCCUCAGUAUAUAUCUUAAAUCAACUAGCAUUGUAUAAUGUUGAGUCUCCAGUAAGCAGAUGUGAUAGAGUCAUUUACAGCUGGACUGGAAAGACUGUCUCUUUGUCUCUGGAGGUGUCUGGUUUUCGACUCUUAGCCAAGAUAAGAGCAGUGGGAUUUAUGAUGUGCUGUCAAAGGCCUGAAACUCCCAAGGCCAAUUUCUUUACUGACAGUCUUCAACUGGCCUAACCGGCUUGACAAGCCUGGCCAAGAGUGCAUGAAAACUCCAUUGGGAACUUCUGCAUUUAGACUUCCCAAAGCUAAGCUUCCUUGCACAGAUAUUUGGUGGUUUGACCCAGAUUCAGAGUGCAAUUGUGUUCGAAUAAGGACCCUGGGAAGUUAUAUAUGCAAUAUCUCUGAGACUUCCAAUGUAUGCUCAAGCUUGCCAUCUCUUACUGCAACGUAUUAUUUGCCUUUAAAUAAAAGCCGUAAGUGAGUCUGCUUAGUCCUUUCAAAUCUCUGAACUUGGGAAAUCUUUGCAGUAAAAUAUAUGGGUCUGGGAAACAAUGGAUGAGUGCAGGAUUGGCUCCACUAACCAUCACUCCCCAGUAACGCACUGGGGAAGCUGUGUUCACUGUCUCUGAAACUCUGCAGAUUUGAGAUCCUGCUUCUCAAAGAGGAAACACUAGGGGACACAGCAAGUGUUUCAUUAAACCUUAAGCUAUAGCUGUCACUCAGUUUCUUCAAACUCAUUGUGCCAAAAGACUUGCAGUCAAGGAAAGGAUUCACCAUCCUGGGAGAAGUAAUUAACUCUCAUCAUCAGGAAAGAAUAUGUUUGGCAACCAUGUGAUCUACUUGGCUUCUUGAUACUCCCUUGCCCAAUUUUUUUUUUUUGAGGAAGAUUAGCCCUGAGCUAACAUCUGCUGCCAAUCCUCCUCUUUUUGCUGAGGAAGACUGGCCCUGAACUAACAUCUGUGACCAUCUUCCUCUACUUUAUAUGUGGAACACCUGCCACAGCAUGGCUUGCCAAGCAGUGCUAUGUCCGCACCCCGGAUCGGAAGCACCAAAGCGGAACGUGUACACUUAACUGCUGUGCCACUGGGCCGGCCCCCCAGUUUUGACUGUGAAUGAACAAGUAAAAUAAGCACAUCUGGAGAAGGGGAUGAUGACCAGGGUCUUAGACCCCACAGGAAUGAGGUUCUGGGUCACCCCACCUAGGUAAACCACGUAGGCCAGAAGGGGUAAAGGGAAUCUAGAAGUGGUAGUAGCGGACAAUGAUGAUGAGUGUUAGUUAUGGUCUUGAGCUAAGCUGCACGGUGGGUGCUGGAGUGCAUUUCACUAACCUUUCUCUCACAAUUCUUUCCCCAACUCCCUGCUUCCAACAGGUCCUUUAAAAUCCUAGAGGAGCUGCUCUUAGAACUUAUUUGAAGCGAGUGGAUCCGAGAAGCCCAGGGAUGGACUGUGGACCACCCAGACCCCCAAAGGCAGGACGGAAGCUCCGAGUCCCCCAGCUGCUGAGAAUGGUGUCAGCCAACAGUUCUCUGCCGAGCCUUUCUCCAGGACCCGGCCUUGGUUGAAGAGUGCCGCCUUGCCGGAGGCCUCCCCCGUCCCAGGCGUAGCUCAUACCCAAUGUCUGGUUGUUGUGGGGAUAUAAAAUCCUGAUCCUCUUGCCCAGUUUGGAGUAACUCUGGAGUGUCAUCCUGUCCCUAGAGUUCCCUUUAGGAUUAGCUGAGGCCUUUGUUGUGACUGUGUCACUGUUCAACUUUUCUCUCUGCUCAGUUUUACUUCUUUUCCACCCCCAGAGGUUUUGUCGUUGAGAGUGCUCCGCACUAAACAUUCUGCACUCAAUCUCUGUCACAGUUUGCUUUUCAGGGAACUCAGCCAUCUGAAGGCAUCUUUCCAAACCCGGCCUAGUCCCCACGGAGCCCGUAAUUGCCCUCUCACUUUUGAUGGAAGACUACAACGGUUCUCAAACAGUAUUUCAAGGAAGCUCUGGGUGGAGGUGCUUCACUGCAAGUGUUUAAUUUCAAUAGCAUUCCUGAAAGACCAUUUUAACCAUGAAAACCACAAAAACCAACAAUAAGCACUAUUGCAACGAUAAAAACUAUUUUAAAACUGUGAACACAGAAAUGUAAAUGUGUUCUAUACUAAAUUUUACACAUCUUUGACAGUGUAUUAACUUGUGGUGCCAGCUCAUAUCAUUUCCGGGCAGACCUCAGAAGAAAGUUUCUCUUUCAUUAUGGCGCAUAUAUUUCAACUCUUAAAAUGUGUUGCCUAAUGAUGGGGACACAUUCUGAGAAACGCGUCGUUAGGUGAUUUUGUUGUGCCAACAUCAUAUAGCUUGCUUACACAAACCUAGAUGGUAUAGCCUACUACACACCUAGGCUGGAUGGUACUAAUCUUACAGGACCACCGUCAUACACACGGUUCGUCGUUGACUGAAAUGCCGUUAUGUGGUGCAUGACUGUAAUUAUUAUUAUUAUUUUUUAAAGAUUUUAUUUUUUCCUUUUUCUCCCCAAAGCCCCCCGGUACAUAGUUGUACAUUUUUAGUUGUGGGUCUUUCUAGUUGUGGCAUGUGGGAUGCCGCCUCAGCAUGUCCUGAUGAGUGGUGCCAUGUCCGCGCCCAGUAUUCGAACCAAAACCCUGGACCACCACAGCGGAGCACACGAACUUAACCACUCGGCCACAGGGCCGGCCUCUAUUUUUGAAUAUAUAAUACAGGUACACAUUAUAGAACUCAAAAAGUACAAAGGAAUAUAUAUAAAAUACAAUAAAAAUUCCCUUCCACUCCUGUCUUCUGGUUUCCCAGUUCCCUUGCCAGGGGAAACCAUAGCUCUUAAUAUUCUAUGUAUUACUCUACACACACACACACACACACACACACACACACUUUUCUCCCCUGUAUACACUGUUG